UUGGACCCUGCCGUGUCACAAUGGCUGGUCUGAAAUGCAUGAGUGCACCCUGCCAUAGCAGCGUCUUCAGUGUGAUAAGUAUCUUCACUGAUCCAAGCUUCCUCUGUGGAACACGCUUGUCUGGUGGGCUCUGGGCUUCCAACCGUCCCCAUGGACAACUCUUGACAAUUUGACCUCAAAUCGGGUGGGAUUACCCGCUGAACUUAAGCAUAUCAAUAAGCGGAGGAAAAGAAACUAACAAGGAUUCCCCUAGUAACGGCGAGUGAAGAGGGAAAAGCUCAAAUUUUGAAUCUGGUACCUUUGGUGCCCGAGUUGUAAUCUAGAGAAGUGUUUUCUGCCUUGGACCACGCAUAAAUUCCCUGGAAUGGGGUGUCAUAGAGGGUGAGAAUCCCGUUUGUGGUGUGGACUACCUUGGCUUUGUGAUACACUCUCAACGAGUCGAGUUGUUUGGGAAUGCAGCUCAAAAUGGGUGGUAAAUUCCAUCUAAAGCUAAAUAUUGGCGAGAGACCGAUAGCGAACAAGUACCGUGAGGGAAAGAUGAAAAGCACUUUGGAAAGAGAGUGAAACAGUACGUGAAAUUGUUGAAAGGGAAGCGCUUGAGGUCAGUCACAUCUGUCAGGACUCAGCCAGGCUUCUGCCUGGUGUACUUCCUGGCCGGUGGGUCAGCGUCAGUUUUGACCGAGGGAAAAAGGCUUGGGGAAUGUGGCUGUCUUCGGGCAGUGUUAUAGCCCCUUGUUGUAUGUCUCGGUUGGGACUGAGGAUCGCAGCACGCCUUAUGGCCGGGGUUCGCGCCCUCGGUACGUGCUU
rnacentral:rRNA from 1 species